GCUGACUUCCAAAUCACUGAACGACUUCUGUGUAUUUCCAGAGAGUCAUGCCAAGUGGUUGGUUCCUAUUGCUGCGUUUUUGGGUGAGUGGCUCUGUAGCAAAUUCUACAUAAGCAAUUACCACCAUGGUUCCUGAGCAAUCUGUUCUUUGCACCCGAAUUAUUGUUUGUUUAUCUCUUUUACUGAUGGUUGGAUGCGUUACACAGCUUAGAGUUGAUGGAGUGCUUAUGAGGCUAAGAGACACUCGUUACACAGCUUAGAGUUGAUGGAGUGCUUAUGAGGCUAAGAGACACUGGUCCAGGAUACUCUGGUGCAGGAAUUAGUUACACAAGGCGGAAUAGUUGAGAGGCUUCAGGGAGGAUUUUCAUUAAGAAUUGAUUAGGACUUCGGAAUACGAUUGCUUUUGUAGUGACUAGUGAGAUGAAGAAACCAGACUUAAUUGUACUUCAAGAAACGGGACUAACAAUUAUAAGUCUAUAACAAAUCCCCUAUUGUUCAAGUGCACACAGGGAAAAAUGAAAAAGAUAGAGAAAUCUUAAGGAAAAGUAAGUUGGGCCCCAUUUUACCAAAAUUUCAAAAUAUACAAUUGAAGGUAAAAGUCCUUGAAACUAAUGUCAGCACUUUUUACACGGCAUAUUACACAUUAUCUGUAUAUGGGCUUUAAUUGUUCCAUGUAAAAGCAACUGCAAGGGAUGAUGUGAUUAUCUUAGUCCUCUUUGAUGUAUAUUCAGCCUCAGUUGUAUUGUUGGUAAGAAUUUUGAGAGUUCAGUUUAGUUGGUCCAACUAAGUGUCAGAGAUCUCUCUUCUUGUAUACCUGUUUUCACAGAAAUCACUACUUUAGACGUGCACGUUGUAUCUAGUUAUCACUUCAUUUUUAUGUUAACAUAACUCAGGUGUUAGAUCAAAUUUUGUUUGACUUUUGUUUGUUUUGUACAAUUCUGUCACUAAUCUUCUUAAUUUCUGCAGAAAGGAUAUCCUUCUGAUUGUGCUGCGUAUAGUGAUCCAAGCACUAUUAGUGAAAGGCUUCCCAUCAUAAUGCAGAAGACUCAAAAGCUCAGUAUCGAAAUACCAUGUAAGCAAUAUGAUCCAAGCACUAUUAGUGAAAGGCUUCACAUCAUAAUGCAGAAGACUCAAAAGCUCAGUAUCGAAAUACCAUGUAAGCAAUAGGUGUGAUCAACAUUGUUGUAUCAGAUUCUUCAUUCUAUGUUCCUCCUAUUUGUGGAAUUUGGUGAAUGAUAAUCAACAUUUGACCUUAUGCAUAUUGCCACUAUUUGAGUGCCUGCAUCGUGCCAUUCUUCUUCUUCCGACUCUUGAUUUUCUUCCCCACGCAAGUGUUGUCUUGAUCUGAAGAGAAAUCACACUGCAUCAAGAUGUGCAAAGAGCACAAAGACAUUGUUGGUGCCUUGAAUGAAUGGAAGAGCGGAAUGGCACAGUAGUGACUAACUGAAUAUUACAUUGGAGACUUUUAAAAAGAAUCAAAAGGCUCUGUGAGCGAUUAAAAUACUAGGUAAUUUCUUCAACGUUAAAAAGAAUAUUACUGAAGAUGCUCAAACCACCAGGGUGAGUUGUUUCACCUUAAGUUUUACUUUCUUAUUGCUUUUCACUUUCAACCUGGAUAUAGAGUGGAGUUCUUUUUGUAUCAAAAUUUCUACCAUGGAGUAGGGGUAAGGUCUGCGUACACAUUACCCUCCCCAGACCAUACUAUGUGGGAUUUUAUUGGGUAGUUAUUGUUGUUGAUGCCUCGUUAUAACUAUCGUUUCUUUGAUUCUUCAUUUUCAACAUUUUGUUUUUCUAGCAGGGACAAGGCACUUAAACACGUGGUAUCGUUCAAGGAUGGUGUCGGGCAAGGAGCAGUUACAAGGCACUUAAUAUUUUGUUGUUUUUGGGAUAUGCAUAUGCGUACAACUACAAUGCACAAUGAAGUGUCAGGUAGUAUAUAUGUAAUUAACUUUUUAGUAUGAUAAUAUUUAUAAUAUUCGGCUUCAGAAAUUA
rnacentral:lncRNA from 1 species